rnacentral:rRNA from 1 species
AUUGAACGCUGGCGGCAUGCCUUACACAUGCAAGUCGAACGGUAACGGGCCUUCGGGUGCCGACGAGUGGCGAACGGGUGAGUAAUACAUCGGAACGUGCCCGAUCGUGGGGGAUAACGAGGCGAAAGCUUUGCUAAUACCGCAUACGAUCUACGGAUGAAAGCAGGGGACCGCAAGGCCUUGCGCGGACGGAGCGGCCGAUGGCAGAUUAGGUAGUUGGUGGGAUAAAAGCUUACCAAGCCGACGAUCUGUAGCUGGUCUGAGAGGAUGAUCAGCCACACUGGGACUGAGACACGGCCCAGACUCCUACGGGAGGAAGCAGUGGGGAAUUUUGGACAAUGGGCGCAAGCCUGAUCCAGCCAUGCCGCGUGCAGGAUGAAGGCCUUCGGGUUGUAAACUGCUUUUGUACGGAACGAAGAGCCUUCUUUUAAUACAGGAGGGUCAUGACGGUACCGUAAGAAUAAGCACCGGCUAACUACGUG